rnacentral:rRNA from 1 species
GACGAACGCUGGCGGUGUGCUUAACACAUGCAAGUGGAGCGACGAACCAGGGCUUGCCCUGGGGCAGAGCCGCGAACGGGUGAGUAACACGUGGGUAACGUACCCCGAUGACCGGGACAACCCGAGGAAACUCGGGCUAAUACCGGAUGUGUCCGUGAAUCACGAGGUUCACGUGCAAAGGAAGCUUCGGCCUCCGCAUCGGGAGCGGCCCGCGGCCCAUUAGCUAGUUGGUGGGGUAAUGGCCUACCAAGGCUGCGAUGGGUAGCUGGUCUGAGAGGACGAUCAGCCACACUGGGACUGAGACACGGCCCAGACUCCUACGGGAGGCAGCAGUGGGGAAUCUUGCGCAAUGCGCGAAAGCGUGACGCAGCAACACCGCGUGAGGGAAGACGGCCUCGGUUGUAA